GGCCCCGUAGCGUAGUGGUCAGCGCACCAAACCAGCGUUGUUUUCUUAGCGAUUUGUUUCCUGAACAGCGUACGAGCGGAGGGGUCAGUUCGAAUCUGACCGGGGCCA